AUAUUGUACAAUGCGCUAAAGCCUGAUCCAGCCAUGCCGCGUGUGUGAAGAAGGUCUUCGGAUUGUAAAGCACUUUAAGUCGGGAGGAAGGGGUUGAAGCUAAUACCUUCAAUCUUUGACGUUACCAACAGAAUAAGCACCGUCUACCUCUGUGCCAGCAGCCGCGGUAAUACAGUGGGUGCAAGGGUUAAUCGGAAUUACUGGGCGUAAAUAGCGCGUAGGUGGUUAAGUAAGAUGGAAGUGAAAUCCCCGGGCUUAACAUGGGAACUGCUUUCAUAACUGCUGAGCUAGAGUACGGUAGAGGGUAGUGGAAUUUCCUGUGUAGCGGUGAAAUGCGUAGAUAUAGGAAGGAACACCAGUGGCGAAGGCGACUACCUGGACUGAUACUGACACUGAGGUGCGAAAGCGUGGGGAGCAAACAGG
rnacentral:rRNA from 1 species